rnacentral:rRNA from 1 species
AUUGAACGCUGGCGGCAGGCCUAACACAUGCAAGUCGAGCGAGCGGCGGACGGGGGAGUAAUGUCUGGGGACAGCCAGAAAGAGGGGGAAAACAACUGGAAACGGUAGCUAAUAACGCAUACUAUCGGAUAACCCAUAUGGGAUUAGCCAGUAGGUGAGGUAAUGGCUCACCUAGGCGAAGAUCCCUAGCUGGUCUGAUAGGAUGAUCAGCCCCACUGGGACGGAGACACGGCCCAGACUCCUACGGAGGCAGCAGUGGGGAAUAUUGCACAAUGGGCGCAAGCCUGAUGCAUCCAUGCCGCGUGUAUGAAGAAGGCCCUAGGGUUGUAAAGUACUUUCAGUCGGGAGGCGUUACCGACAGAAGAAGCACCGGCUAACUCCGUGCCAGCCGCCGCUGUAAUAC